AGAGUUUGAUCCUGGCUCAGAAUCAACGCUGGCGGCGUGCCUAACACAUGCAAGUCGAACGCGGUUAGUAGCAAUACUAACUGAGUGGCGAACGGGUGAGUAACGCGUGGGUGACCUACCUUCGAGUGGGGGAUAACGUCCCGAAAGGGACGCUAAUACCGCAUGACAUCCUCUUUUUGAACAGAGAGAGAUCAAAGCCGGGGAUCGCAAGACCCGGCGCUUGAUGAGGGGCCCGCGUCUGAUUAGCUAGUUGGUGGGGUAAUGGCUCACCAAGGCGACGAUCAGUAUCCGGCCUGAGAGGGCGGACGGACACACUGGGACUGAGACACGGCCCAGACUCCUACGGGAGGCAGCAGUGGGGAAUUGUUCACAAUGGGCGCAAGCCUGAUGACGCAACGCCGCGUGGAGGAUGAAGGUCUUCGGGUUGUAAACUCCUGUCGAGGGGGAAAAAGGGCCGCAAGGCCUUGAUUGAUCCCUGGAGGAAGCACGGGCUAAGUUCGUGCCAGCAGCCGCGGUAAU
rnacentral:rRNA from 1 species